AUUGCUUCUUGGCCUUUUGGCUAAGAUCAAGUGUAGCAGCUGGUCUUAUCAGUUUUAUAUCUGAUACGUCCUCUAUUCGAGGACAUUAUAUUAAAAUGGAUUUUUGGAGCAGGGAGUCGGGAAUAAGGGGCUUACUCCAUCUGCUCCACGGAAAAAAA
rnacentral:snRNA from 1 species